AGCAUCCGCGGUAAUUCCAGCUCCAAUAGCGUAUAUUAAAGUUGUUGCAGUUAAAAAGCUCGUAGUUGAAUUUCGGGGUCAGUAGGUCGGUCGUGCCACUGGUAUGAACUGGUUUUACUGAUUCCUCCCUCUUGAAGAACUGUAAUGCCAUUAAUUUGGUGUUGCAGGGAAUCAGGACUGUUACUUUGAAAAAAUUAGAGUGUUUAAAGCAGGCUUUAGCUUGAAUACAUUAGCAUGGAAUAAUGAAAUAGGACGUUUGAUCCUAUUUUGUUGGUUUCUAGGAUUGACGUAAUGAUUAAUAGGGAUAGUUGGGGGCAUUAGUAUUCAAUUGUCAGAGGUGAAAUUCUUGGAUUUAUUGAAGACUAACUACUGCGAAAGCAUUGUAGUCAAGGAUGUCUUCAUUAAUCAAGAACGAAAGUUAGGGGAUCGAAGCACGAUCAGAUACCGUACGUAGUCUUAACCAUAAACUAUGCCGACUAGGGAUCGGAUGAUGUUAAUUUUUUAAUGACUCA
rnacentral:rRNA from 1 species